UUUUUGGAUGCAUGUGCUUGCCCUAACAAUCAUCUUCCAAACACCUGUGCACAUUUUUGAGGGAGUUUCGAGUUUUAUUGCCGUUUUCGGUGAUUUUCUUGUAUUCCCUUGAAUUAUUAUACGCUGUUAACAAUGAUGAACGUGCUCUGUGCCGCAAGGCCAUUAAUAUAAUACAACUUUUAACAACGGAUCUCUUGGCUCUCGCAUCGAUGAAGAACGCAGCGAAAUGCGAUAAGUAAUGUGAAUUGCAGAAUUCAGUGAAUCAUCGAAUCUUUGAACGCACCUUGCGCUCCCUGGUAUUCCGGGGAGCACGCCUGUUCGAGUGUCGCGAAAUUUCUCAAGCUUGGAUGGCCUUUUUGUCUGUCCUUAGCCUUGGUUGUUGGGCUUUGCCGUGUCCUUUGUUGGGACGGCUGGCCUUAAAAGCAUUAGCUGAUCCUCGUGUGGCACUGGUUCUACUCAGCGUGAUAACAGUCUGAUCGCUGAGGACAUCUUUUGGGAUGGCCAGUUCUCAUUUGGGUUGCUUCCAAACUUGGGUUUUGCAGAUUCUUCAAUCUGUGUUCCACUUUUCAGCUUUGACCUCGAAUCAGGUGGGGACUACCCGCUGAACUUAA
rnacentral:rRNA from 1 species